rnacentral:rRNA from 1 species
CCUACGGGAGGCAGCAGUGAGGAAUAUUGGUCAAUGGGCGGAAGCCUGAACCAGCCAAGUCGCGUGAGGGAAUAAGGCCCUACGGGUCGUAAACCUCUUUUGCCGGGGAGCAAGGGCGGGGACGUGUCCCGGCCCGGAGAGUACCCGGAGAAAAAGCAUCGGCUAACUCCGUGCCAGCAGCCGCGGUAAUACGGAGGAUGCGAGCGUUAUCCGGAUUUAUUGGGUUUAAAGGGUGCGUAGGCGGGCUUUUAAGUCAGCGGUAAAAAUUCGGGGCUCAACCCCGUCCGGCCGUUGAAACUGGGGGCCUGGAGUGCCGGAGGGGUAGGCGGAAUUCCUAGUGUAGCGGUGAAAUGCGUAGAUAUUAGGAGGAACACCAGUGGCGAAGGCGGCCUACUGGACGGUGACUGACGCUGAGGCUCGAAAGCGUGGGGAGCAAACAGGAUUAGAUACCCGAGUAGUC